rnacentral:piRNA from 1 species
UAAACAAUAAUACAUAUGAUU